UGGGGAAUUUUGGACAAUGGGCGAAAGCCUGAUCCAGCCAUGCCGCGUGAGUGAAGAAGGCCUUCGGGUUGUAAAGCUCUUUUAGUCGGAAAGAAAGAGUUGUAAUGAAUAAUUGUGAUUUAUGACGGUACCGACAGAAAAAGCACCGGCUAACUACGUGCCAGCAUCCGCGGUAAUACGUAGGGUGCGAGCGUUAAUCGGAAUUACUGGGCGUAAAGGGUGCGCAGGCGGUCUUGCAAGUCAGAUGUGAAAGCCCCGGGCUUAACCUGGGAAUUGCGUUUGAAACUACAAGGCUAGAGUGCAGCAGAGGGGAGUGGAAUUCCAUGUGUAGCAGUGAAAUGCGUAGAGAUGUGGAAGAACACCGAUGGCGAAGGCAGCUCCCUGGGUUGACACUGACGCUCAUGCACGAAAGCGUGGGGAGCAAACA
rnacentral:rRNA from 1 species